rnacentral:rRNA from 1 species
AACGAACGCUGGCGGCAUGCCUAACACAUGCAAGUCGAACGAGACCUUCGGGUCUAGUGGCGCACGGGUGCGUAACGCGUGGGAACCUGCCCUUAGGUUCGGAAUAACUCCCCGAAAGGGGUGCUAAUACCGGAUAAUGUCUUCGGACCAAAGAUUUAUCGCCUUUGGAUGGGCCCGCGUUGGAUUAGCUAGUUGGUAGGGUAAAAGCCUACCAAGGCGACGAUCCAUAGCUGGUCUGAGAGGAAGAUCAGCCACACUGGGACUGAGACACGGCCCAGACUCCUACGGGAGGCAGCAGUGGGGAAUAUUGGACAAUGGGGGAAAGCCUGAUCCAGCAAUGCCGCGUGAGUGAUGAAGGCCUUAGGGUUGUAAAGCUCUUUUACCCGGGAUGAUAAUGACAGUACCGGGAGAAUAAGCUCCGGCUAACUCCGUG